rnacentral:misc_RNA from 1 species
GUGGGAGCAAAGCUUGCUCGCGAUGCGGGCACCGCGGUUUUUUUAUAGACCGCGUUAUCGUUUAUCGCGGGCAAGCCUUGCUCCCAC